rnacentral:lncRNA from 13 species
AUGUCAGUGUCCUUCAUGCACGGUGAUAGAUCCAGCACCAGCCAGGGAAGUGUAAUUCUGCACAGGGAAGGCCAGUCACUCUCAAUUGAGACUGACUCCUCCAACUCCUCACCAAGGCAAAGAAUAGGCAGAAAGAGGUUAUUGUUCUUCUCACUCUCUUUCUUCUUUUGCAGGUGUUGGGGGUCCCAACUGAAGACACCUGGCCAGGACUUUCCAAGCUCCCCAACUAUAACCCAGAACUGGUUGCUUCCAGAAGACCUCAGAGACUCCAAGUUAUCUGUAACAGGAUGAGCAGGGUGCCAGCAGCAGAGAAUUUGGCCUCCAGGAUGCUCACAGCCUUCCCUCCAGGCCGAAUCUCUGCACAAGAUGCGCUUCUUCAUGGCUUCUUCAGCCCUCUGCCUCCUCAGCUCUAUCAGGUUCCUGCUGGUAAGUUAACUCUCAAUUUCAUCUCACCAAGAAAGAGCUGCUGCACGUGCUAUUUAUUAUGAGUUUCCUCUCUAUUUUGAAAGUCUCUGCCAUUCACCCAGAUGUCUCUCUUUUCUGCUUGCACUCCCUCCCUACUCCUGUAUGCUGCAAAGUUUACAUCCCAUUGCAAAUUUGAGAACUUGCUUUUCUGUUUUCUUCCACUUGACCACUGUGUUAAUACUAGAAGGGGACCUUGUUGGGCUGCCACCAUGGUCCAUCUGCAAAGCAGAGGUGUAUAUGCUUUGACAGGUCAUUUCUCCCCCAUUCUGUAACUCCAAGGGCCUGGAGAUUUCCCCCAGCUCACACUGUGUGUUCAGUGUAACUCACCCGCUGGUCCCUCCUGAUGUCCUGAAUUCCCAUCUGCUCAGCAUGGUGUGCUAUCCCCAAUUCCCUUGGACUGCUCCUCCUGCUCCCUUUUGAUGUUGAGACAGCUGUUCCUUGUACCCUGUCACACCAGUUCUCCCUCAGUUUUACCUGCUUUAUUUUCCUCUUCCCUUGCUCCCUUCUCUUAAGCACAUAGCUGCACACACAGGUCUGUCUCUGCUGUCCUGAGCUGACAAUAAAUACAGGGUUCUCAAGCUACAGUUCUGCUCCUCACUAGGAAAAGCUCUCUCCUAUCGGGCAGCAGGCCAAAGGGACCUUGCAUUCCCUGUUGGCUCCUGGGCACCCUCUACACUUGUUAGUUUGGUGGUGUGUUUUAAGAUAGGGGCAAUUAAGAAAAAGCCUUCAUGGACUGUGUUGUCAAGCUAUUGGAAAACCAAAUUUCUGGCUCCUGCAACACAUCCCAAGUGAAGGAACAGUCAGCUAGCAUCUCUCCCAGUCCCCCAAACCGCUGCCCUUCAGAAGGUGCUCUGUGUGUGUAUGUGCUUGAGUGAGAGACAUCUGCAUUCCUUUUCUGUUCACCCAGCCACAGAGCACAAAUCUACUUUGACACUUUUAGAAAAAUGAAAAGAUGGAAUCUCGCAGGAGCCUGCCUGUGCUGGGUGGGGAGGAGGGGAGCACGCACAGCAGGAGGGAAGUUGACUUUUCUUUAUACAUAUAGGGUUUUUUCCAUGCAGAGUUUAAAUUAUGCCUGAUAAAAGGAGUUUCGUGGAUGUUUCAGUUCUUUCAAACCCUCCUGGCUUCCUCCCAAUUAAAUGAGGUUUGUCAAAGCCACAGGGCUCUGCUGCUGCCAGAGAGGCGGACAAGCACUUCCCGCAGUGACAUCUCCAAUCCCCAAGGGAGAAGAUGAAAGUGUCAGUGCUGAGAGAGAGAGAGAGAGAGAGAGAGGAAAAAAACAGGUACAGAGACAGACAGUGUGAGAGAAAGGAAGAGAGUGAGGAGAAAUAGAAGGAAUGAGAAAACGGAUUGGCAUAAUGUGUCAAUCUCUCCGAUAUGCUGCCAGCAAGGGGACAGAUUCAUUUCACCUGGGUUUAGGCACCAUCCCAUAUUUAUUAUCCCCCAUAUUGCAGCAAGAAGUACCUCGUGGUCAGGAAACUGCAUGGCGUUAUCAUAGCAACCAAUGUGUUGAGAACAGAAUCAAAGUGUACAGGGCUGAAACAAGUACAGUACGAUCAUGCAAGACCAUAUUCAUGAGUGACUCAUUAAGCCUGUAAAAUUUAGGCAAUUCUGAAUAAUUCCCCAUGUAGCCAUUCCUAUUGCCAUAAUUGUUUAAGACAUUUUCUCUCUUGUGUCACUUUGGCAUAAUACUAUUUUGGAAUUUAACUGUAUCAUUUUAAAACUCUUGUUGCUAUGAUAACAGUGGAGAUUUUAAAUAUAUUCUGUUCGACUUUGUUCUGGAGGAUGCUGGCUAUUAGCUGCCAUCCUCUGAAGGGGAAAGUUAAAGCAGUAGGGCAAGGAAUGAUCUGGAGAUGAAAGGUGAAAGAAGAUGGGGUUGAUCCCAAGGUGUGUGAGAGAGUAAGAGAGAGACAUUAGAAUAAAUAAAAGGUUUUCUUAAGAAAUUAUUCUCUGUUUUUAUUAAAUAAUUGUAUCCAUAACUGUCCUUUUUAUAAGUUGUUAUGACAAGCUGGAAGCUAAAGGAUGUUUUUCAAAGGUCAGUUCCUGGGAGAAAAUAAUUGGAGAAAUCACUGUUUUGAAGUCAAGUACCCCUCCAAACAGCAUGUUUCUGAUUACUAGGUGGAAUGUUAAUGGUUAGAGGCUGGCUGCUGCCCUUGGGAAGGGGGAAAGGGAGCACAGGGCUCUAUACUUCCUGGAGGUCAGCUCCUACAGAGUAGAACAAGUUGCUGUUGCUAUGCUCAUCUGAGUGCAAAGUGCUAGAAAAAAAGAGUAGCCUGUGCUCUAAGGGAGGAAGAAGAUCCUCUGUCCUCUGAGUGGGCUGGCCUACAGAUGGGCCUCUCCCACAGCUGCUCACUCCUGUGGCUCUGAGGCUGAGGCUCGGGUUCAAAUCUUGCUCAUCAUCUUGGUGGCCUUAAUUCUACAUGUGCCACCAGCACCUCUGGAUAUAAAACCAGAGAGAGGUGCAGGGGUUUCUUCAGCUUCCCUUCAGUGUGGCUAGUAGCCUAAGGGGUGGUAGUGAUGACCUUUUGUAAAACCGGAGCAUUUGCUGUCCUUUUUCUGGCCAAAGCCAAUCCUGAGACAAUUAUCUUUGUGCAGUGCAGCCCUGCACUGCAGCAGCUCUGAUAAAACUUCAGUCUAACCCUUUGCCACCUGCUAAAGCAGAAUGUUUUCUGUCCAAUUAAUCCCUCCUGGAAGAAAGAUGAGAUCCUUGAAUCAAGAAAGCAUGAGCUGUGCUCUCAACUCAGUGUCAGUCCUGAAGUGCAAAGGGCCUUCUGAGGAGGUAUCUCACUCUGUUGUCAGACAGGUCAGACACAGUAACAGUUGCAGCUUAUUAUUCUUGUUAUAGAUUUGGUUUAUUUUCCCUCUCUUUUGCCCUCUGAUGCUUUAGAGCAGGCUUGCAAGCAGGGAAGGUAAGCAGUGGGAUUUGGGGUUAUCAACAGUGCACUCCCAAGAAAAGACACUGCAAGAAGGGCUCUGGCCAAACCAUCCGGGCACAGGGCCCAGGGCAGCCUGAGCUGGCAGCUCAGAUCCUUUCCCCACCAGAUCAAUAUCCAGUCUCAGUAGAGACCUUUCUCACAGCACAGGAGAUGUUCAACCCCGGCCAUAUCCUCAGCACAGCAGUUAGUAAAUUCCGGUAUGUGCUCCAUGAGGAGGAUUGUGUGUUGCAUGGAUGUGAUCCUGGCUUUGACUAGGAGGUACUUGCUCUUUUUGGGUACAACUGGUCUGUAAUUGUUACCUCCCCCAGCAACACAAAAUCAGUGCAGCAGGUGAUGAAGACACUGUACCAUUUCUCCUGAAAUAGCC